rnacentral:rRNA from 1 species
UCGAACGAAACUUCUUUAUCACCGAGUGCUUGCACUCACCGAUAAAGAGUUGACUGGCGAACGGGUGAGUAACACGUGGGCAACCUGCCCAAAAGAGGGGGAUAACACUUGGAAACAGGUGCUAAUACCGCAUAACCAUAGUUACCGCAUGGUAACUAUGUAAAAGGUGGCUAUGCUACCGCUUUUGGAUGGGCCCGCGGCGCAUUAGCUAGUUGGUGGGGUAAAGGCUUACCAAGGCAAUGAUGCGUAGCCGAACUGAGAGGUUGAUCGGCCACAUUGGGACUGAGACACGGCCCAAACUCCUACGGGAGGCAGCAGUAGGGAAUCUUCCACAAUGGGCGAAAGCCUGAUGGAGCAACGCCGCGUGGGUGAAGAAGGUCUUCGGAUCGUAAAACCCUGUUGUUAGAGAAGAAAGUGCGUGAGAGUAACUGUUCACGUUUCGACGGUAUCUAACCAGAAAGCCACGGCUAACUACGUGCCAGCAGCCGCGGUAAUACGUAGGUGGCAAGCGUUAUCCGGAUUUAUUGGGCGUAAAGGGAACGCAGGCGGUCUUUUAAGUCUGAUGUGAAAGCCUUCGGCUUAACCGGAGUAGUGCAUUGGAAACUGGGAGACUUGAGUGCAGAAGAGGAGAGUGGAACUCCAUGUGUAGCGGUGAAAUGCGUAGAUAUAUGGAAGAACACCAGUGGCGAAAGCGGCUCUCUGGUCUGUAACUGACGCUGAGGUUCGAAAGCGUGGGUAGCAAACAGGAUUAGAUACCCUGGUAGUCCACGCCGUAAACAAUGAAUGC